UGGAAAUUUCAAUAUAAAAAAUAGAAGCCUUUAUCAGUGUAGAAGUAAGAGCUUAGAGUGGUGAAAGGCACAUCACAUACAACCUUGCUCCAUUUGAAUAAUAUUAUGCUAUCUGAAAGCAAAAGCCAAAAGGUACAAAUAAUAAGCCCUUCAUAAACCAAAAAUUCAAAUCUAAACACAGAAAGUCUAAAACAUUACAAAUAAUGAGGAAAGGACAGAAAAUUUCAAUCCACCACUUGGCAAGAGGAUCAAAAUAAUUGAAAGUGGGAAUGACUCAAAAAAUAUACGGCAAAGAAAUAUGCAAGAAAGACACAACUGAUUGUCAAGUGGUUGUUCUUACUUUAAAUGUUUACAAGGAGUCCAUCUUGAAUUCAAACUAUUGUCAGCUCAAAAUAAAGGAAAAUCUCUAGUACUCAACAAAACUUUCAUGAAUUGAACUGGGUCAAACACCUAAAAGCUAUUGAAAACCAAAACAAAAAAAUCUAAAAAUUUAAGCAUAAUUCAACACUACAGCAACAAAAUGCAGAAACCCACUUCAAAUUUUCUUAACAGUGACAAUUCAAGCAUCAACAUUGUUAUAACUUAAUUUAGAAACAUGACUUUCAAUUUAUUCUUUUCUUAAAAACAGUAAAACAGAAACAUAUAUUAUGUAAAUUGUAAGGACUUUAAAUAAUUUCACUCACUAUAAUUAAAAAAAAACAAUAAAAUAGCAACUAUGUCCACAUAUCUAAAUGAAUGUUGCAAGCUUCAUACUAUUUAUGGAUGAUUCUUACUUUUUUUUUUCUGUGUUACGACCCAGCCAAAAUUAAUGUUAAUCGAACACUGGAACGAGAAGAAAAAAGAGGGGGGUUUGUUGCUCUGACCGAAUUGGAAUCGACGAUAUGGCCGGACGAGGUUAGGAGAUCUGCAUUGCAGUUGGGUUUGGUGAGCCGCACGAAAUCGACGAGGUUGCACUUAAAAGAAAUCGACGAGAGUGAAUCAAGCUAAGGUCUCAUGUUGUUUUGGCUCAUCAGAGUGUGAGGAGAGAAAAGAUAUAAGGGUUUGUUUUGUCUUGGCUGUUCAGAGUGCGAGAAAUUUGGGUUUCGUUUUGUUUUG
rnacentral:lncRNA from 1 species